rnacentral:rRNA from 1 species
AUUGAACGCUGGCGGCAGGCCUAACACAUGCAAGUCGAGCGAGCGGCGGACGGGUGAGUAAUGUCUGGGGAACUGCCCGAUGGAGGGGGAUAACUACUGGAAACGGUGGCUAAUACCGCAUACCAUCGGAUGUACCCAUAUGGGAUUAGCUAGUAGGUGGGGUAACGGCUCACCUAGGCGACGAUCCCUAGCUGGUCUGAGAGGAUGACCAGCCACACUGGAACUUAUACACGGUCCAGACUCCUACGGGAGGCAGCAGUGGGGAAUAUUGCACAAUGGGCGCAAGCCUGAUGCAGCCAUGCCGCGUGUAUGAAGAAGGCCUUCGGGUUGUAAAGUACUUUCAGCGGGGAGGCGUUACCCGCAGAAGAAGCACCGGCUAACUCCGUGCCAGCAGCCGCGGUAAUAC